GUCCCAAUAGCUAAGUGGUUAUAGCAUGCGAUUGCAGUUUGGCUUCUUAGGAAGUACAUCACUAUCGCAGGGUCGGGUGUUCGAAUCACCCUUGGGACU